rnacentral:lncRNA from 1 species
GGUUUCUUCACCUCAAUGAAUUCUCCACUUCUCGUGAGGCAGCUGAGGAGGAGGAAAUGUUAUCUGCUAAUCGCUGGAGUGCUGCUUCUUACUUUGCUUAUCAUCAUUAUUGCAGUCUCAGCCAGAAAAUGAGAUUGAGACCACAGAAAUUGCUGUUUCCACUCUGCUGUGAUCUCUCCUCAACUUCCCAGCAAAAUGAGAGUCUAUAUGUAGAGGUUCACCUCUCUUCUAAUCUAAUCUAUACUUCUGUCGGAUUGUGUGUUUUACUGUGUAUGCAUGUAUGGAAAUGUGUGUGUGUGUGUGUGUGUGUGUGUGUGUGUGACUGUUCGUUAAAAGAGUCUAUUUUUAAUCAGUGCUUUGUACUGUAAUGUGCAAUUAAUUGCUCCUUACCUCUUCAAAGUGGACUCGAAUCAAAAUCCAAAUAGACUAAAUGUUGCUGUAGGGCGUUUAUGCCAACGUUAAAAUAUCCUUUCCAUUUAUUGCUGAUUCUUGAGUACUGAGACAGAAUUGGCUGUGGUUUUGCUUGCCUGUAAUUAAAUUUGGAUUUUUAUUUUUUUUUAAGUUUAAUUAAGAUAGUUUCAAACUGAUUAUUUCUUAUAAUUUGUAUGACAGAGUUAGCAUAUCAAGGUUAUGAUGAAAAUAUAAAUACAAAUAUAACCACAAUAAAUUAAAUGGAACAUUUGUGUGAAGAUCAUUUGAUUAAUUUCCAAGUCGAUUUUCUGUGUUUUGUCCCAUGUCUCAAGAAUCAGUCUUAUGCUAGUUCUCAUAUCAGCUCAUAUUGAUCUUUUGCUGCUCACAAUACAUGUGUAUAUUUAUUUUUCUAGGGCGCAAAUAUAUAAAUUGUGUCAAAAGUGUAACAUUAUUUUUAGGAACAUUAUUUUUAGGAACAUUCUUUAUAAGGCAAUUAUUUGUUAUAAAGAAACAUAACUGGUACAU